UUUCCCCCAUCUCGUUACCCCAGCCCUCUAGGCCUUUCCCCCAUCUCGUUACCCCAGCCCUCUAGGCCUUUCCCCCAUCUCGUUACCCCACCCCUCUAGGCCUUUCCCCCAUCUCGUUACCCCAUCCCUCUAGGCCUUUCCCCCAUCUCGUUACCCCAGCCCUCUAGGCCUUUCCCCCAUCUCGUUACCCCAGCCCUCUAGGCCUUUCCCCCAUCUCGUUACCCCACCCCUCUAGGCCUUUCCCCCAUCUCGUUACCCCAGCCCUCUAGGCCUUUCUGCUCCCAUCUCCCUCCUCCUCAGUGAUCCAUCCAGACAUUGAGUGUCCUGUACUGUCAAUCAAAUGCUUCUGCAAGGUGCUACCAGUCCCCCACUCAACUCCAGUCUCCGCCCUGCUGUUGUUGAUCUCAACCGAUGAUGUCCCCUCACAAACUAAACCCACUUGACUCUGCCACAGCAGUCAUGUUGGUUUCCUGUACCACAGCAGGCAUGUUGGUUUCCUGUACCACAGCAGGCAUGUUGGUUUCCUGUACCACACCAGUCAUGCUGGUUUCCUGUACCACACCAGGCAUGUUGGUUUCCUGUACCACACCAGGCAUGUUGGUUUCCUGUACCACACCAGUCAUGUUGGUUUCCUGUACCACACCAGGCAUGUUGGUUUCCUGUACCACAGCAGUCAUGUUGGUUUCCUG
rnacentral:lncRNA from 1 species